ACACUUGUUUCAAAAGAUGAAGGUAAAACCAGAUUUACUUUCAAAUGCACAAAUACACGUAUACAGAAAUUCAAUGAAAAACCUGCAGUGACAUUACAGGAACAAAGCAGCAGAUGCUACUUGACAUGUUGAGCUCCUCCAGCAGUUUGGCACACAGAAAAUACUUCAGGAACUUAGCAGAUUCUGACCUGGAAUUACUCUCUGACUUUGGUU